rnacentral:rRNA from 1 species
GGGUAAUUUUCCGCAAUGGGCGAAAGCCUGACGGAGCAAUACCGCGUGAGGGACGAAGGCUUUUGGGUCGUAAACCUCUUUUCCCUGAGAAGAAGAUCUGACGGUAUCAGGGGAAUCAGCAUCGGCUAACUUCGUGCCAGCAGCCGCGGUAAUACGAGGGAUGCAAGCGUUAUCCGGAAUUAUUGGGCGUAAAGCGUCCGCAGGUGGCUCUGUAAGUCUGUCGUUAAAGAAUGGGGCUCAACCCCAUACAGGCGAUGGAAACUACAAGGCUAGAGUUUGGUAGGGGUCAUGGGAAUUCCUAGUGUAGCGGUGAAAUGCGUAGAUAUUAGGAAGAACACCAGCGGCGAAAGCGCGUGACUGGGCCAGUACUGACACUCAUGGACGAAAGCUAGGGGAGCGAAAGGGAUUAGAUACCCCUGUAGUCCUAGCCGUAAACGAUGAUAACUAGGUGUUGCCCGUAUCGACCCGGGCAGUGCCGUAGCCAACGCGUUAAGUUAUCC